CCUCCGGGGGGCAGCAGUUAGGAAUCUUGCGCAAUGGGCGAAAGCCUGACGCAGCAACGCCGCGUGGGGGAAGAAGGCCUUCGGGUUGUAAACCCCUUUCAGUGGGGACGAAAAUGACGGUACCCACAGAAGAAGCCCCGGCCAACUACGUGCCAGCAGCCGCGGUGACACGUAGGGGGCAAGCGUUGUCCGGAUUUAUUGGGCGUAAAGGGCUCGUAGGCGGUUCGGCAAGUCGGGUGUGAAACCUCCAGGCUCAACCUGGAGCCGCCACCCGAAACUGCUGUGACUUGAGUCCGGUAGGGGAGCAUGGAAUUCCUGGUGUAGCGGUGGAAUGCGCAGAUAUCAGGAGGAACACCAGUGGCGAAGGCGAUGCUCUGGGCCGGUACUGACGCUGAGGAGCGAAAGCAUGGGGAGCGAACAGGAUUAGAUACCCCAGUAGUC
rnacentral:rRNA from 1 species